AGUGAUUUAGGUAGUUUUAUGUUGUUGGGCUCUAUUUUAUAUCCCCGCAACACGAAACUGUCUUAAUUGCCU
ensembl:miRNA mir196d microRNA 196d